rnacentral:sRNA from 1 species
UAUAUAAUGUAUGCAUAGCUCAUGUUUUAUCUUCUUUCACUUUAGUCUCAGUAACGGAAGAUUCUAGUACAUCGGAGAUUGACAAGGAAGAGAAAGAACAAACCACUCAAGAUCCUGACUUGACCACCGAAGCAAAUCCUCAGUAUUUAGGAUUGGCAAGGAAGAAAAGUGGCAUCCUGCUGCUCACGCUGGUGUCCUUCCUCAUUUUCAUACUCUUCAUCAUAGUCCAGCUCUUCAUCAUGAAGCUGAGGAAAGCACAUGUGAUAUGGAAGAAAGAAAACGAAGUUUCAGAACACACACUAGAAAGUUACAGAUCAAGGUCAAAUAAUGAAGAAACAUCAUCUCAAGAGAAAAAUGGCCAAUCUUCCCACCCUAUGCGUUGCAUGAACUACAUCACAAAGUUGUACUCAGAAGCAAAAACAAAGAGGAAGGAAAAUGUACAACAUUCAAAAUUAGAAGAAAAGCACAUCCAAGUACCAGAGAGUAUUGUGUAGUGCUCUCUGCAAUGGAACAUGUGAUUUCAGGGUUGCCGCAGUGUCACCUCAGUGGACCAGCCUGGGGGAAGGAGCUUAAUUGCUGAGACAUUAAUAAU